GGAAAGGGCGGUGCUGUGGGGACCCCAAGUUACCCUUUCUAUGCCUUGAUUCCUACCAACCUAUGCUUUGUGGAGAUUUCAUCCAAUAGGUGCUACAUGGGCACCUACUGUAUGAAAGGCACCAGGCUAGGUCCUAGGGACAGACACCAAGGUAUAGGAGCCAUGGUCCCUGCUCUCAGGUAAGUGAGCCAGGACAAAAGGCAGGCCAAAAGUGUCACUUGUCAGGAAACAAAGUGCCAGGAGGCUUCAGAGAGUGGGAGCACUGCCAGCAUCUCCGGGCCCUCCAGCUUAGUCACGGUGUUCCCUGGGGGUGGACAUCAUCACUUCAUCGACGGGAGACUCAGCGGGGCCAAGAUGCUUGUGUGGAGGCACGGAGCUGGCUUGGACCCAGGUCCGUCACCUCCUAGACUCCUGACUCCCAGGCAGAAUAUUACCAACCAAACACGGAUGCUGGCGACCCCCUUGGCCUUGCUUCAAGUUUCGACUCUAACACUUGAGUGGUGACACCACAAUGACUUUUGAAGCUAAAUUUUCCUUGAGAAAGCAACACGCUGGUGUGAACGGUGGCCUCUCUCCUCAACGGUUGGAUCUCUGACAUGUCAAACCUGCAGAUUCGUGGGAGAAUUGGGAGAACGAUGAAUCUGACCCGAACCCGUGAGGCUUAAAAAUAUGGUAAUGCAAUUAGCAGCUUUCGGCAGCCUAAUGAAGCUUCUCUAAAAUGCUGAUAAAAUACCACUAAAGGAAAAUGCUGAAGAGCCUCUUCAAACUUCCCAAAAUGUGAAGUGCGUCCUUACGGAGAAAAUGGCAAUCUAGUCGCCUUUCUCCGAGGUUCAAGAUUAAUUAGGGGCUUAUUUAGUGCAUGAAUGAGGAAACAAAUGAACUCUUGGAUGGCAAAGCAUUGAAACCAAUUUUUUAAUCUUUUUUUUUUUUUUUUUUUUUUUUUUUACAAUUACAUCCCUAUCAUAAAAGUCUUCAUUAGACGUUGUCACCAGCACGCAUUGUGUUAGGGAAGUGUUACCACUGGGCUUUUGACGAGACUGCAUUUCUUUCCUUUUAAAGAGGACUCUCAUCAAAAAGCCUUUUCUUUCCUCCUAAAGGUGAAGGGCUGUGGCUUGGAAGGGUAGUCCCGGCUCUAGGGGGAAAAUCAUCUCCCUACUUGCCCUAUGCAACCCGAGGUUACCUGUGUUUUCUGUAGAUACAUGAUCCCCUUUGAAACUAGCACAGGCCGACCAGGUGGUUGGAAGAUUUCUCUGGCUCCUUGGAUAGGUUAUUUCUUUAUUCACCAUUUUUGUUUGUUUGUUUGUUUUUGUUUUUUUGAGACAGUGUCUCGUUCUGUUGCCCAGGCUGGAGUGUAGUGGCGCGAUCUUGGCUCACUGCAACUUCUGCCUCCUGGGUUCAAGUGAUUCUUGUGCCUCAACCUCCUGAGUAGCUGUGAUUACAGGCGUGUGCCAGGACACCUGGCUAAUUUUUGUAUUUUUAGCAGAGACGGGGUUUCACCUUGUUGGCCAGGCUGGCCUCGAACUCCUGACCUCAGGUGAUCCACCUGCUUCGGCCUCCCAAAGUGCUGGGAUUACAGGCGUGAGGCACUGUGUUUAUUCACCAUUUAUGAUGAGAAGACAGGCAUGGAGGAGGAGUAAGUGCUGCGUGCUCCCCGUCCCAUGCCUGGCUAUCUACCCCACACCUCCUCUCCUGCUUUCUCCCCCUCUUCACAAAUGAUCCUCUGGGUGGAAGCCAGUCCUGAUUGCUGCCAUCAACGGAACCAUUCAUUUCACCCAGCAGCUAUUGGCUGGGCAGGAAGUAGUCCUAUGCACUCCUAGGUGCUGGGAUGCAGCAGUGAGUAAAAUGUAUAUUCUCCUGGCUCGUGGGGCUCACAGUCUAGGGUUGAUUGCCUUGAUAUUUGCAAAUUACCUUGAUCAUUUCUGGCCCUGGUCUACCUAUGCCAGGACUCCAUAGCAACAUCAUCUUUAUCUAUUUGAUGUGUCUAUGUGGCUGGGCAACAUCACAGAAGUUGGUGGGAAUCUGAAAUGUGAACACCGACGCUAAGCUGGCCUCGGGCAAGUCCUUCACUUGCCCUUGCCUCUCCGCCUGCAUUCUGUGAAUCCGGGACAUGAUCCUUCCCCAGGCAGGCUUCAGAUGAUGUUGCAGCCCCAACCUCGAUGGCAGUUUUGUGAGAGCCUGAGCUGGGGAAGCCAGCCAAGUUGUGCUCAGAACCCUGAGCCAUGAAACUGUGCAAUAAUAAAUGUGUGUUGUCUUAAGCCACUACGUUUUGGCAUAAUUUGUUAUGCAGCCCUAACUAAUAAGCUAAUUAACAAAACCAUGCAGAGACCUAUGUGGGAGCUUAGGUUGGUUGACUUACACAAGAGGCCAUGCUACAAUAGUAACGACAGGGUGAG
rnacentral:lncRNA from 10 species